rnacentral:misc_RNA from 1 species
UAACUUCCUAACAAUAGCAGCGAUUUAAGCGACGUAUUUUUUUGUUUAUAUUAUUUUCUUCAUUCAGUCAUUUUUUGAUCUUUUUGCAACGUGGCAUAACUAAAGAUUCUGCCCGCCACCGGCUUUGGAUGAUCAUAACUUUCAGAAAAAUGGAUAUUUUGCAAUGAAAUUCUCUACGAAUAUGAUGUAGAUUCCGAAUAUGCAUUUGGGGUGGGUAUUUUAGGAGGGGUGGAGAAUUUUAGAAAAUCCACCUCGUUUUGAUUACGCUAGUCACGUUUUGAUACACUAGCCUCGUUCUGAGCCAUAUACAAGCCACAACCUUAGUUUCCUAAAGGGGCUCUGGUUGAAGGUACACCACGAAUCAUCUCCCACAUUUGCUACUCGUAUCUUAGUGAAAACAUGUCUGUCUACAUCAACAUAGAAUCUAUGGGAAGGUCAACCUGCCCAUAGUUCCUGAUGAAGAAAAAGAGACCAACAACUUGAUCGAUGAGGUUACUGCAAAUAUGUUAAAGUCUCUGUUAGACAAGGAGUCCCGUCGUUCCUUACCCAAUGUGACCAUGCCAUCCACCUCUACUGGCAGGUCUUUCUGUUCAGACAAGGAGCUGUUGUCUCUUAUGGCAAGUCGUUUAUCAACCGCAGAAGCGAGGCUGAAGUUACAGAAAGAAGAACUUGUGUCAAAGGAGAAAAGAAUUCUGUAUUUGGAGCGGAAGGUUCACCAAUUGGAGAAACAAUGCAGUGAAUCUCAAGAUGUAGUAGUGGCUGACCUGACACAACAAUGUGACAGUUUACAAAACCAAAUCAGAGAAAUGGAGGAUUUCCUCUAUGACUAUGGCCUGAUAUGGGUUGGAGAAUCAAGAGGUAAACGAAAGAAAUCAACACGCAGGAAGAGUAGCAUUACUUAUGACCCGUGUUUGUGGAGCUCAGAGGAGUCCAUUCCAGAGAAGUCAGUGAAAGUGGAUUAUGAUGUCGUCAUUCAGAACAUUAAAGAAUUGAACUUGUUGGCAGGAGAAGGAGUUGCCAAUGUGGAACCAACAAAGGAUGGUGCCAGACUGAAGUACACAGAAUCUGCAGCACUGACCCUGUAUAAAAACGGAAUCUUUUUGCUGAAUGGGCCGUUCCGACCCCUUUCUGACCCAGCAACUCGUCGCUGUUUGUAUGACAUCAUGGAGGGUUACUUCCCUUCAGAGCUUCAAUCUACUUAUCCAGAGGGGAUCCCCUUAAAGGUCAUAGACAACAGGAAUGUAGAAUACACUAUACAGCCGCUCAGCGCUUUCCCUGGGAUUGGACAGCACCUAAAUGGCAUGAGACAUGAUACUUCAUGUUUACAUACUCAUAGAAAUCCAGAAUCAACUCCUUGUAUCCAACACAUGACACAGCCACAUGAACCCCGGCUGUCAGCUGACCAGUUCCUUAAGAAACUCCCAAGCUGUGUCAUCAAAGAUGGCAAGAAAAUUGAAGUGAAGAAAUCUAUUGAAUCUCUGCUGAAGUCACCACCAAAACCCAGACAACUGACCAUUAUUGAAACUUUAGUGGAAAAGGAGAAAUGCACAAUGUCCCAAAGUCCCCAUCAGACAAGUACUGAAGCUGAUGUUGCCAACAUUCGAGUGAAAUCUGAAACAGGGGACUGUACAUACCUGAUAAAGAUGAAGUACCUGGACACAAUUGGGGACUUAAGAAUAUAUCUGGAUACCCACAGGCCUGCUUUCAGUCCACCAUACAAGAUUCUGUCGACAUUCCCACGUAAGGUUCUCGAUGAUCCAGAUGCAACCAUUGAAGAGUGUGGUCUUGUCCCAACAGCAACACUAGUUCUGGAGCUCGACUCAGCAGUUAACCCCAUAUAUUAAUGUGGUUGCUAAGAAUAAAACACUUUUCUUGCAAUACUUCAAUCACACACACACACACACACACACACACA